rnacentral:misc_RNA from 1 species
AAGUCGUAACAAGGUUUCCGUAGGUGAACCUGCGGAAGGAUCAUUAUUGAAAUAGCACGACGGGAAGCUGUUGCUGGCCCUAGUGGCCGUGCACGCUUUCUGUCCUUCAUUUCUCCAUCUAUUUGUGCACCUCUUGCGUAGACCCCUCUGUUAGGACUGCUUUGCAAAAUUGAUUGUGGGCUUUCCUUGUUUCUACGUCGUCAUAUACACCAGUGUAACGAUUUGGAAUGAAUGGAAUUUUGAUGCAAUAUAUAAAGCACAACUUUCAGCAACGGAUCUCUUGGCUCUCGCAUCGAUGAAGAACGCAGCGAAAUGCGAUAAGUAAUGUGAAUUGCAGAAUUCAGUGAAUCAUCGAAUCUUUGAACGCAUCUUGCGCUCCUUGGUAUUCCUAGGAGCAUGCCUGUUUGAGUGUCAUAAAUAUCUCAACCGCACCCUAUGGUGGUGUGGCUUGGAUUUGGGGGUGGCAGGCUUAGUCUGCUCCCCUGAAAUACAUUGGCGGUGCCCGACGUGAUGUGAUAAAUUAUCCGCAUCUGUUUAUGAGCUGCCGUGUCGUGUUGGAGUUGAUAAACUUGACCUCAAAUCAGGUAGGACCACCCGCUGAACUUAAGCAUAUCAAUAAGCGGAGGAAAAGAAACUAACCAGGAUUCCCUUAGUAACUGCGAGUGAAGUGGGAAGAGCUCAAAUUUGUAAUCUGGUGGCCCUUGGCCAUCCGAGUUGUAAUCUAAAGAA